UACGUAGGGGGCUAGCGUUGUCCGGAAUCAUUGGGCGUAAAGCGCGUGUAGGCGGCCCGGUAAGUCCGCUGUGAAAGUCGGGGGCUCAACCCUCGGAUGCCGGUGGAUACUGUCGGGCUGGAGUGCGGAAGAGGCGAGUGGAAUUCCUGGUGUAGCGGUGAAAUGCGCAGAUAUCAGGAGGAACACCAAUUGCGAAGGCAGCUUUCUGGGCCUUUUCUGACGCUCAUGUACGAAAGCGUGGGGAGCAAACGGG
rnacentral:rRNA from 1 species